rnacentral:rRNA from 1 species
GGCAGGCCUACACAUGCAAGUCGAGCGCGCCCUUCGGGGUGAGCGGCGGACGGGUUAGUAACGCGUGGGAACGUGCCCAUCCCUACGGAAUAGCCUCGGGAAACUGAGAGUAAUACCGUAUACGCCCUUCGGGGGAAAGAUUUAUCGGGGAUGGAUCGGCCCGCGUCUGAUUAGAUAGUUGGUGGGGUAAUGGCCUACCAAGUCGACGAUCAGUAGCUGGUUUGAGAGGAUGAUCAGCAACACUGGGACUGAGACACGGCCCAGACUCCUACGGGAGGCAGCAGUGGGGAAUCUUAGACAAUGGGCGCAUGCCUGAUCUAGCCAUGCCGCGUGAGUGACGAAGGUCUUAGGAUCGUAAAGCUCUUUCGCCGGGGAAGAUAAUGACUGUCCCGGUAAAGAAGUCCCGCUAACUCCGUGCCAGCAGCCGCGGUAAUACGGAGGGGACUAGCGUUGUUCGGAAUUACUGGGCG